rnacentral:rRNA from 1 species
AGCGCAGGCGGGAAACUAAGCGGAUCUUAAAAGUGACGGGGCUCAACCCCGUGAUGGGGUCCGAACUGGUUUUCUUGAGUGCAGGAGAGGAAAGCGGAAUUCCCAGUGUAGCGGUGAAAUGCGUAGAUAUUGGGAAGAACACCAGUGGCGAAGGCGGCUUUCUGGACUGUAACUGACGCUGAGGCUCGAAAGCUAGGGUAGCGAACG